rnacentral:rRNA from 1 species
GCUUGUCUCAAAGAUUAAGCCAUGCAUGUCUAAGUAUAAGCAAAUUUAUACGUGAAACUGCGAAUGGCUCAUUAUAUCAGUUAUAGUUUCUUUGAUGGUCCUUGCUACUUGGAUAACCGUAGUAACUCUAGAGCUAAUACAUGCAUCAAUCCCCGACUUCCUGGAAGGGGUGUACUUAUUAGAUGGAAACCAAUGCGGGGCAACCCGGAUUCUGGUGAUUCAUAAUAAUUAUCGGAUCGAUCGUAUGAUCGAUGCAUCAUUCAAGUUUCUGCCCUAUCAGCUUUGGAUGGUAGGGUAUUGGCCUACCAUGGCAUUAACGGGUAACGGAGAAUUAGGGUUCGAUUCCGGAGAGGGAGCCUGAGAAAUGGCUACCACAUCCAAGGAAGGCAGCAGG